rnacentral:rRNA from 1 species
UACGUAGGGGGCGAGCGUUGUCCGGAUUUAUUGGGCGUAAAGAGCUCGUAGGCGGCUGGGCAAGUCGGGUGUGAAAACUCCAGGCUCAACUUGGAGACGCCACUUGAUACUGCCCUGGCUUGAGUCCGGUAGGGGAGCGCGGAAUUCCUGGUGUAGCGGUGAAAUGCGCAGAGAUCAGGAGGAACACCGGUGGCGAAGGCGGCGUCCUGGACCAACACUGACACUGAGGAGCGAAAGCCAGGGGAGCAAACGGG